UACGUAGGCGGCCAGGUAGGUCCGGUGUGAAAACUCGAGGCUUAACCUCGAGAUGUCAUCGGAAACCAUCUGGCUAGAGUCCGGAAGAGGAAAGUGGAAUUCCUGGUGUAGCGGUGAAAUGCGCAGAUAUCAGGAAGAACACCAAUGGCGAAAGCAGCUUUCUGGGACGGUACUGACGCUGAGACGCGAAAGCGUGGGGAGCGAACAGG
rnacentral:rRNA from 1 species